GAUGAACGCUGACAGAAUGCUUAACACAUGCAAGUCGACUUGAACUUCGGUUUGGGUGGCGGACGGGUGAGUCACGCGUAAAGAACUUGCCUCACAGUUAGGGACAACAUUUGGAAACGAAUGCUAAUACCUGAUAUUAUGAUUUUAGGGCAUCCUAGAAUUAUGAAAGCUAUAUGCGCUGUGAGAGAGCUUUGCGUCCCAUUAGCUAGUUGGAGAGGUAACGGCUCACCAAGGCGAUGAUGGGUAGCCGGCCUGAGAGGGUGAACGGCCACAAGGGGACUGAGGCACGGCCCUUACUCCUACGGGAGGCAGCAGUGGAGAAUAUUGGACAAUGGACCAAGAGUCUGGUCCAGCAAUUCUGUGUGCACGAUGAAGUUUUUCGGGAUGUAAAGUGCUUUCAGUUGAGAAGAAAAAAAUGACGAUACCAACAGAAGAAGUGACGGCUAAAUACGUG
rnacentral:rRNA from 1 species